rnacentral:tRNA from 2 species
GGGGACGUGGAUUAGUGGAAGAUCGUUCGCUUGGCAUGCGAAAGGCCACGGGUUCAAUUCCCGUCGUCUCCA